GGGUAAAGAUAAAGCAUGUUUAUUGAUGCGGCAAACAAAGGUUCAAAUAUCCUCCAAAGCACUUCAAGCCCUCAAAGAAUGAAACUCAAAACGCAGAUGAGGUAAAAGAAGAAACUUCUAAAUUAAAGUGGAGCGACCCAGGGACAAGUCUGGUUUGGGUUAAAGAUUAUGGAUGGUUAACUUUGUGUAACGCGUUUGGACAAGCAAGUUUAGGUAUUAGGCAAGCGAGUUUAGCCAAGCGAGUACAGGCAAGCGAGUCAAGCCAAGCGAGUUUAGGUUUUAUGCAAGCGUAUUUAGCCAAGCGAGUACAGGCAAGCGAGUCAAGCCAAGCGAGUUUAGGUAUUAGGCAAGCGAGUUUAGGCAAGCGGGUUUAGGCAAGCGGGUUUAGGCAAGCGGGUUCAGGUAUUAGGCAAGCGAGUUUAGGCAAGCAAGUUCAGGUAUUAGGCAAGCGACGCGAGUUUAGCCAAGCAAGUUCAGGUUUUAUGCAAGCGAGUUUAGGUUUUAUGCAAGCGAGUUUAGACAAGCGAGUUUAGGCAAGCAAGUUUAGGUAAGAGAGUCAAGUUACUUUAGGCCUCACUUUAUUUGCGGUUAAAUUGCGGCAUUAGGUUUAGAAAGAAGGUUAAGAUCCAGGCUCAGGUUUGCUUCCAGCCUCGUCCCUCUAGCCGCUCCCUAUAAAGAGGGUUCCCAGCUACAGUGUUAAAAUACAACAGCUGGGAUUACAGAUGUGGAGUACAGAAAUAAAUGACAAAGAUUGAUUCAAACAUUCUUCCCCCAAAAUGUGGUGCAACAUAAUGGAGAAAAUAAUUACUUUCUCUCCAUUGAAACCCAGUCAUAUCUUACGAUCUCACGAGGUCCCACCGCAAGGGGCGGACUUACAAGCUCUAUAGAGUGUGCACUGUGUGUUAAUGUUGGGUGUGGAUUAAUGUGCUGGUGUAGCCAGGGAUCCUCAGGGUUUAUGGGGAGUAGGACACACUGGUGUAGUUCAGUGCU
ensembl:lncRNA